CGGGUGAGUAACGCGUGGGAACAUACCCCUCGGUUCGGAAUAACUCAGGGAAACUUGAGCUAAUACCGGAUACGUCCGAGGUUUUAAUCGACCUCGGAGAAAGAUUUAUCGCCGGAGGAUUGGCCCGCGUCUGAUUAGCUUGUUGGUGAGGUAUUGGCUCACCAAGGCGACGAUCAGUAGCUGGUCUGAGAGGAUGAUCAGCCACAUUGGGACUGAGACACGGCCCAAACUCCUACGGGAGGCAGCAGUGGGGAAUAUUGGACAAUGGGCGAAAGCCUGAUCCAGCCAUGCCGCGUGAGUGAUGAAGGCCUUAGGGUUGUAAAGCUCUUUUACCCGGGAAGAUAAUGACGGUACCGGGAGAAUAAGCCCCGGCUAACUUCGUGCCAGCAGCCGCGGUAAUACGAAGGGGGCUAGCGUUGUUCGGAAUUACUGGGCGUAAAGCGCACGUAGGCGGAUCUUUAAGUCAGGGGUGAAAUCCCGAGGCUCAACCUCGGAACUGCCUUUGAUACUGGGGAUAUCGAGUCCGGGAGAGGUGAGUGGAACUGCGAGUGUAGAGGUGAAAUUCGUAGAUAUUCGCAAGAACACCAGUGGCGAAGGCGGCUCACUGGCCCGGUACUGACGCUGAGGUGCGAAAGCGUGGGGAGCAAACAGGAUUAGAUACCCUGGUAGUCCACGCCGUAAACGAUGGAUGCUAGCCGUUAGACAGCUUGCUGUUUAGUGGCGCAGUUAACGCGUUAAGCAUCCCGCCUGGGGAGUACGGUCGCAAGAUUAAAACUCAAAGGAAUUGACGGAAUCGAAUU
rnacentral:rRNA from 1 species